AUUGAACGCUGGCGGAAUGCUUUACACAUGCAAGUCGAACGGCAGCACGGACUUCGAUCUGGUGGCGAGUGGCGAACGGGUGAGUAAUGUAUCGGAACGUGCCCAGUCGUGGGGGAUAACGUAGUGAAAAUUACGCUAAUACCGCAUACGAUCUAUGGAUGAAAGCGGGGGAUCGCAAGACCUCGCGCGAUUGGAGCGGCCGAUAUCAGAUUAGGUAGUUGGUGGGGUAAAGGCCCACCAAGCCAACGAUCUGUAGCUGGUCUGAGAGGACGACCAGCCACACUGGAACUGAGACUCGGUCCAGACUCCUACGGGAGGCAGCAGUGGGGAAUUUUGGACAAUGGGCGAAAGCCUGAUCCAGCCAUUCCGCGUGCAGGAUGAAGGCCCUCGGGUUGUAAACUGCUUUUGUACAGAACGAAAAGGUUUCUACUAAUACUAGGAGCUCAUGACGGUACUGUAAGAAUAAGCACCGGCUAACUACGUGCCAGCAGCCGCGGUAA
rnacentral:rRNA from 1 species